rnacentral:rRNA from 1 species
GACGAACGCUGGCGGCGUGCUUAACACAUGCAAGUCGAACGGAAAGGCACUGCUUGCUGGGUACUAGAGUGGCGAACGGGUGAGUAACACGUGGGUGCUCUGCCCUGCACUUUGGGAUAAGCCUGGGCAACUGGGUCUAAUACCGGAUAGGAGACACUUCUAGCGUGAUGGAUGGAAAGUUUUUUCGGUGUAGGAUGAGCUCGCGGCCUAUCAGCGUGUUGGUGGGGUAAUGGCCUACCAAGGCGGCGACGGGUAGCCGGCCUGCGAGGGUGGACGGCCACAUUGGGACUGAGAGACGGCCCAGACUCCUACGGGAGGCAGCAGGGGGGAAGAUUGCACAAUGGGCGCAAGCCUGAUGCAGCGACGCCGCGUGGGGGAUGACGGCCUUCGUGUUGUAGACUCCUUGCGCUAGGGACGAAGCUUUUUGUGACGGUACCUAGAUAAGAAGCACCGGCUAACUACGUG